UACGAAGGGGGCGAGCGUUGUUCGGAAUUACUGGGCGUAAAGGGCGCGUAGGCGGUGUGUCAAGUCAGGCGUGAAAGCCCCGGGCUCAACCUGGGAACGGCGCUUGAGACUGGCACGCUCGAGUUCGGGAGAGGAUGGUGGAAUUCCCGGUGUAGCGGUGGAAUGCGUAGAGAUCGGGAAGAACACCCGUGGCGAAGGCGGCCAGCUGGGCCGGUUCUGACGCUGAGGCGCGAAAGCGUGGGGAGCAAACAGG
rnacentral:rRNA from 1 species